UACGUAGGGCGCAAGCGUUGUCCGGAAUUAUUGGGCGUAAAGAGCUCGUAGGCGGUCUGUCGCGUCGGCUGUGAAAACCCGAGGCUCAACCUCGGGCCUGCAGUCGAUACGGGCAGACUAGAGUGCUGUAGGGGAGACUGGAAUUCCUGGUGUAGCGGUGAAAUGCGCAGAUAUCAGGAGGAACACCGGUGGCGAAGGCGGGUCUCUGGGCCGAUAUUGACGCUGAGGAGCGAAAGCGUGGGGAGCAAACAGG
rnacentral:rRNA from 1 species